GGACUGUGUCAAAUGAACAAGCCUCAACUUGUCAACGCCAGUAUGCAAAAUAGGUCUGCAACAUCCUAUGACUAAGAGCAGAGCAGAUACAGCCCCUACGUCCUGGGGCCCCCGCCCACCCACCACACACAAACACACGUUUCUCCAGGGUUUGCUUCCUCCGGGCAGCUAAACAGCUCCAGGAGGCAGGACUCACGGUGGUGAAGUGGGCCAGAGGGGGUUGCCAGCCUCUCUUUGGAAAACACAAGACCAGAAAGGAAAACCAAAACUUCACCCUCCUCUCCCUAAAAACCCCCACGAGUGAUUUCCCGCGCCCUCCCCCCCUCCCAACCUCGCCUCUCAUCUCCUUGAAGAGCCUGAAGUCAGGGGCUCCAGGGAGCAGAAGACUAUUCCACGCUUACAAAGUAUCAGGAAAAAUUCACAGUGUAUCCGGGCACCGGACACAUGCAGCCUCAUGGCUGCCCUUCCUGAAAGUCAAUACCCACCCCCAACACUGGCAAAACUAAGAGCACGGCAGUCCAGGGAGGGUGAAACAGUUGAGCCAACAAGCCAUCCAGAAAGGACUGCCAUGAUAAGGGUGGGGUGUGGGGGGCAACCAGCAAUCUGUAAAUGCAAUGCAAAGGCAGAGAAAGUUUCCAAAAACAAGUUGGUGGGCUUGUGAAAAUCACCCGGUGGUCAGAGGAUGGAGGCAGCAUCACAGGGGUGCACGGACCUCUCGCUUCUUACCGAGGGUCCUCCCAACCGCAGCUGCGACCCCAAGUCGGUACUGAUUGGAGGAGGGGCUAUUUUUAGCUCUGCUGGGUCACAACAUGCCUUCCAUCAAGUGCACGGACCCCGAAUUCUCUCUAGGCAUGCACGGGCCAUGGGAUGCCUCCCCCCUCCGCCCCCCCACCGACGUCCAAACUCACUGCCAGUCUCGAAUCUGGGGAUGAGGCCGGUGCACGGUGAAGGCGCACACGCGGGGAUCCGACCCCCCCCGCCCCCGGGUCCCCCCCGGCGCCCAGGUCCCCCCCGCUCCAGGCGCAUCCCAGCCCAGCCCGCCAGGCCGGGGCUCGCGAGUUCCCAGAAACGCGGAGGGCAAAAUCCUAUAACUUACUGGAAGAACGGUUAUUCGGUGCCUGGCUCCUUGGCGGGGCUGGACGCGUCUGCGCUUUGGUAGCCAACCGCCUGCAUCCAUCCAGCCCAUCCAGCCGGCUGUAGGAGGUGUGCGAUCUGGUUGCUCAAACGUGCUCCCAGGAACCGAGGUUAUCACCUGGGGGAAAGCCGGUAUCUGCCUGCGGGGUGCCCCCAGGCCACUGGAGGCCCUGCUUCCAAAUCCAACCUCAACUCCCUCUCCAGGGUCGUGACCCUGGCUACCAGAUGCUUCCUGUUAGCUGCCUGUACUGGGGCCUUUCCUGGCUGAAAAGACACUCUGCCCUAGGACUCCUUCAACCUUGACCUUGACUCUGCUUGCCCUCUCUGGAUCCCUACUGCGCUGAUCUUAGAUUCACAAUUUUCCUUUUUUAAAAUUAAAAAAAAAAAAUUUCCCUGAAAAAUAUAAAAUAUCUUAACGGCCUUUACCUUGCAAAAUCAACUAUCUUUUUAAAAAAUAUAUAUGUAAAUUAAAUUGAAUUCACAUAUUCUGUAUUAUUAGCUUCAGAGGUAGAAUUUAGUGAUUCAUCAGUUGCAUAUCACACCCACAAAAUUAGCUGUCUUUUACAUUUUGGUAUAUUUGCUCCCAAUUGUUUUUUUAAAAAACAAAUCAUUUGUUUUUUUUUGCAAAAGUGAUACAAAACAUGUACACUGUAAAAAUUUUAAAGUAAUGCAGAAAAAUACAGAAAAUAAAAAGAAACCAAAGUUUUUUCA
rnacentral:lncRNA from 12 species